UGCUGGGCUCGCGGGUCGCGCGUCCUGGACGCUGGCCGCGGCCGCCCUUACUAACCCCUGGGGCCAGGAGACGAGGCGCCGCCGCCGCUGCGCCGCCAUGUUGUUUGCGGACUGUCGCCCCAGAUGGCAAGGAGGGGGUUCGGACUAGAGGCUCGGGACUGGGGGGGACAAGGCGAGGCCUGCAAAGGGUCGCGCAGGGAUAGAGCGUUCCCGAGUGGCGCCUGUGGGGCGGGGCGAGCACGGCAGCCUCCUCUGCACGGACGGCCCUGACUUGGGGCGCGUAGACCCGCGGGAUCUAGGCUGGUGGCCUUUUCCUCCCCAGCGCCCGCAAAGCCGUCGCCUUGGGGCCAAUGCUUGUCCCUGCCACCCCUGCCCGCCCACACGCCCGCUUGCCCCAGGAGAGAGGUCUCGAGCCUGCGCAUCCUUUUUUAGUCGACCGACCCUUUCUAGAUGCCCAGAGAUCCCCUACCUACAAAGGAAAAGCCUAGGGUGGGGGGAAGGGAAGUGAGACGUCGUGGGCCCCACCUUCCGCACCGCAGGGUGGGACGGCCAGGCCACACUUUCCAUUCCUGUUCCUCUCGUCCCCACUUGGACUGCCAAAUCCGCCUCUCCCUUCCCGUCCCCACGCGCCUACAUCUCGCUCUCUCCCUGCAUCCCUUUGCUGCCUCCGAUCCCUUCCUUUUAUAAGUUACAGAUGGACAGACCCAAGCUCUGCCGCAUUAAUGUCAUCAUUAAUAUGGGAACGAACUUUAAAACCGAGGAGGAAAGCUUUUAAUCAUGAUACUAAACCACCCCCAGCCCCGCCUCCAUCCCCACCCCCACGAUGAAGCCACAUAGACAUUUCCUUUCCUUUCCGCCCCUCCUUUUGCUUUUCUCAGUCUGCUGGAGCUGCGGAGACACCUGCUGAUUUAAGGGAAGGGAGAGAGCAAGAAUGCGCUGCAUCGCCUAUUAAAAAAUUUUCUUUCCUUCUUAGACCUCUGAAAUACUCAUUCUAUAGGGAGGAACAUACAGUUAUUUCCUACUUUUAGCAGGGGUCACGGGUUCGAACCCUGGUCUGGGAAGAUCCCACAUGCCGCGGAGCAGCUAACCCCGGGCGCCACAACUACUGAGCCUGCAUUCUAGAGCCUGCGAGCCACAACUACUGAGACUGUGCUCCAAAACUACUGAACCCCGCGCGCCUAAAUCCUGUGCUCCACAACAAGAGAAGCCACUGCAAUGAGAAGCCCACGCACUGCAAAGAAGAGUAGCCCCCGCUCGCCACAACUAGAGGAAAGCCCGCAUGCAGUAAUGAAGACCCAAUGCCGCCAAAGAUAAAUUUAUAAAAAAUAAAUGAAUAAAGUAUGUGGGACCAUAUGUGUAGGUUAUAUGCAAAGACUAUAACAUUUUAUAAGGGACUUGAGCAUCCUUGGAUUUUGGUAUCCACA